ACCAUCCUUGUCUUGGGUUGUGAGACUGUUCAAUGAAUGAAUAGUGAGAACAGUCCUGCUGACACCACUGACAACACAACUGCAUCACUAGUGUAAAUGCAUUAGUAAGGUGCAAUUUUUGGAAUC